UUUAACAUUUUAAAAAUGACUUCAUGUUUAAUGUAAUACUUUUUAAAUUUUUCUAUUUUUUUAAAAUGACGUGGCAGAUGAGGUAGACACGACAGCUGACGUGGUAGCUGAUGUGGGGAGAGUGUGUUACACUCACCAAAAAAGGGUUUAAAAUAUUGCUUUUUAGUGGGUUCAGAGGUCCAGUGACAAACAUGUAAGUAGAAGUAUCCAACUUACAAAACCGACAUAGUACAAGG
rnacentral:lncRNA from 1 species